UGCCAGCAGCCGCGGUAAUACGGAGGGGGCGAGCGUUAUUCGGAAUCAUUGGGCGUAAAGGGCGCGUAGGCGGCCUGACAAGUCAGGGGUGAAAUCCCUCGGCUCAACCGAGGAACUGCCUCUGAAACUGUCAGGCUUGAGGCCGGGAGAGGGUAGUGGAAUUCCCAGUGUAGCGGUGAAAUGCGUAGAUAUCUGAAGGAACACCAGUGGCGAAGGCGACUUCCUGGCCCAAAACUGACGCUGAGGUGCGAAAGCGUGGGUAGCGAACAGGAUUAGAUA
rnacentral:rRNA from 1 species